UGCCCGGUCGCCUAACGGAAAGGCAGCCGGCCGAUAACCGGCAGACACAGGUUCGAUUCCUGUCCGGGCAACCU
rnacentral:tRNA from 1 species